rnacentral:rRNA from 1 species
CAUUCACGGAGAGUUUGAUCCUGGCUCAGGACGAACGCUGGCGGCGUGCUUAACACAUGCAAGUCGAACGAUGAAGCCGCUUCGGUGGUGGAUUAGUGGCGAACGGGUGAGUAACACGUGGGCAAUCUGCCCUGCACUCUGGGACAAGCCCUGGAAACGGGGUCUAAUACCGGAUAUGACACGGGAUCGCAUGGUCUCCGUGUGGAAAGCUCCGGCGGUGCAGGAUGAGCCCGCGGCCUAUCAGCUUGUUGGUGGGGUGAUGGCCUACCAAGGCGACGACGGGUAGCCGGCCUG